CCAAGGAGAGGGUGAGAAAAGGACAGUGUGAUUAGGGGGAAGUAGAGAAGAAGAAGAAGAAGGAAAGAAAAAAAAGAGAGAGAGAAUGAAGAAAAGGUGACUCAAGAAGGCAAGUUGCACGUUGGAAGCCGGAGUUAAAAUUUACUCGAUGAGGGUGGAUUCAGUGCAUUCAGAGGCAUACAAGGUUCUUGGAGGGAUUACUCGAGUCGGUCAACAAAAUGAACCAGUUUGUUCAAGCUGGGACUUCUGCUGCAGAUGUAUGUGACCGACUAAAAGGGCUUUCAGAGCAUGAGAGUCUAUGAAGCACGGGUACUCCAAAAAUAGUGUCGUACGAGUACCGAGUACUUACCGGGUGCAGGUACGCGUACCGGUACGGUGGUACGCGUACCGAGUAUGGCAAAAGAGGGUCCGGUACGUUUGGCUUAUUCGGGUACGGCACGGGUACGGCAUGGGUACGGCGUGGGUACGCCAUGGGUACGCCAAGGCCAAUUUUUUUUUUUUUUUCUGCCCUUGCAAAUUAGCAAUUAUUAUUAUUAUUUUUUAUUUUUUUUGGUGCCCUUGCAGAUCAGUAAUUUUGAUGUUUCUCUGUUGUCCUGUUUGUCUGUAUAAAUUGUAGAAACAUAUCAACAAAUGAUUUUAAUGUUUUUAAAAAGCAAUUUGAACCAAAAAAAAUAACAAGGCCUAUAAAGGGUAGUUCUGUGUAUGACUAUGCAUUAUGCUUUUGCUUUAGAUCCUCCUAGAAUUUCUUUAUAAAAUCUUUAAUCAUAACAAACUUUUAAAGUUUAUGCACAAAACAUUAAAAAUUGAUACUGUAUUAGUUGAUUAGUAGUUGUUGGGAAUGAUGCAAUUUUAUGUAUUAUGCAAAUUGCAAUUGACAACCUGCACCAAUUGAGAAUUUUUUUCCUUUAUUGUUGGUAAUUAACUUUAAAUCUUUAUUUGGUCUCUUGUUAUUUCUUUGGUCUCACCCUAUAAAAAUAGCAAAUUGAUGAGCAAAAAGAAAGAUUUUAAAAAUAAAUUAUGAUCACAAAUUCACAGUGCAUAACAUAUCAAAGUGAGAGAUUUCACAAAUAUUAUUUUUAACGUUUAAUGGUUUUAAAUUAUAGGAAAAUGAGUAGUUCUUUUUUUAGUUUUGAUAUUUAAUUUUAAUUU